rnacentral:lncRNA from 1 species
AAGCUUUCUAAACAGGACUAAGGGCUGGAGCUCUGUCUGUGCUAAGCAGAGCAGAAGGAUUUCUUCUCAUCUGGCCAGACUUCAAAGCAAGAUAGUGCCAAGAUGCUCCUUGAAAAAUAUCUGUGAAGGAGAGAAGUCUGCCUGAUCUUGAAGAAAAGCUAGGUUUGUAGAACAUCACCAGAAAACAUCCUUUACUUGUGUGCCAGAGGAAAUUGAUAGCCUCCAGUUAAGGCAUAUUCCCAGGCAGAUGAGUAUGUAGAGCUGAAGAGUGCCAGA